UAAUUGAAGAGUUUGAUCAUGGCUCAGAUUGAACGCUGGCGGCAGGCCUAACACAUGCAAGUCGAGCGGUAGCACAAGAGAGCUUGCUCUCUGGGUGACGAGCGGCGGACGGGUGAGUAAUGUCUGGGAAACUGCCUGAUGGAGGGGGAUAACUACUGGAAACGGUAGCUAAUACCGCAUGACGUCUUCGGACCAAAGUGGGGGACCUUCGGGCCUCACGCCAUCAGAUGUGCCCAGAUGGGAUUAGCUAGUAGGUGGGGUAAUGGCUCACCUAGGCGACGAUCUCUAGCUGGUCUGAGAGGAUGACCAGCCACACUGGAACUGAGACACGGUCCAGACUCCUACGGGAGGCAGCAGUGGGGAAUAUUGCACAAUGGGCGCAAGCCUGAUGCAGCCAUGCCGCGUGUAUGAAGAAGGCCUUCGGGUUGUAAAGUACUUUCAGCGAGGAGGAAGGCAUUAAGGUUAAUAACCUUGGUGAUUGACGUUACUCGCAGAAGAAGCACCGGCUAACUCCGUGCCAGCAGCCGCGGUAAUACGGAGGGUGCAAGCGUUAAUCGGAAUUACUGGGCGUAAAGCGCACGCAGGCGGUUUGUUAAGUCAGAUGUGAAAUCCCCGAGCUUAACUUGGGAACUGCAUUUGAAACUGGCAAGCUAGAGUCUUGUAGAGGGGGGUAGAAUUCCAGGUGUAGCGGUGAAAUGCGUAGAGAUCUGGAGGAAUACCGGUGGCGAAGGCGGCCCCCUGGACAAAGACUGACGCUCAGGUGCGAAAGCGUGGG
rnacentral:rRNA from 1 species